GACGGAGGGUGCUAGCGUUGUUCGGAAUUACUGGGCGUAAAGCGUGCGUAGACGGUUAUUUAAGUCGGAUGUGAAAGCCCCGGGCUCAACCUGGGAAUUGCAUUCGAGACUGAAUAGCUAGGGUGCGGUAGAGGGAAGCGGAAUUUCCGGUGUAGCGGUGUAAAUGCGUAGAUAUCGGAAGGAACAUCAGUGGCGAAAGCGGGCUUCCUGGACCAGCACCGACGUUCAGGCACGAAAGCCGUCGGGGAGCAAAC
rnacentral:rRNA from 1 species